AUUUCAACAGUUUUUUCCAUCUUCAACAAUGCCUGACGUGCUGCUUCUCUCUCAAGCUCCCUCUUCCGCCUAGCCUCAGCUGCAGCUGCUAUCUCAGCUCGCUUUCUAGCAUCUUCAGCAGCCUUGGCCUCUGCUUGCAAUCUAGCUUUUUCUUUCUUCUUCUGCAACUCAAGCUCCUCCAUCUCCCGUCUCAGUUUCUCCGGAUCCUUAUCAACCUGCAAAAGAGUCUUUUCUCGAGCUUUUAAUAUCGUAUCAGCAAAUCGGUUCUUCAGAAUUGCAGCCCUGAUGAGCUUCUCAGGGGAGACCUGCCUCUCAGUUGGAGCCCUGUCCCCAUCUUGACGAUGAUCUGACUCAACAGAACUUGGCUUUUGCUGGGAAGUCUGCUCAAGUUGAUCCAAC
rnacentral:misc_RNA from 1 species